rnacentral:rRNA from 1 species
GAAUUUUGGCCAAUGGGUGAAAGCCUGAUCCAGCAAUGCCGCGUGCAGGAUGAAGGCCUUCGGGUUGUAAACUGCUUUUGUACGGAACGAAAAGCUUUGGGGUAAUACCCUGGAGUCAUGACGGUACCGUAAGAAUAAGCCCCGGCUAAAUACGUGCCAGAAGCCGCGGUAAUACGCAGGGUGCAAGCGUUAAUCGGAACUACUGGGCGGAAAGGAUACCCAGACGGUUUUGUAAGACAGAGUUGAAAUCCCCGGGCUCAACCUGGGAACUGCCUUUGUGACUGCAAGGCUAGAGUACGGCAGAGGGGUUGCAAAUUCCACGUCUAUCUGUGCAAUUCGUAGCUAUGCGGACCCACUCCCCUUGCGAAUGCAACCCCCUGGGCCUGUACUGACGCUCAUGCACGAAAGCGUGGGGAGCAAAC